AGAGGGGCUGCCCCCUCUCUCCUAAUGCAGCCGAUGGCGGUGGCAAGCCCGCAGACAAUGCAGAGCCGGAA
rnacentral:ribozyme from 1 species